rnacentral:lncRNA from 1 species
UAGGAACUUGUAUGCAUGUUUUGGUUGAGAUAUAUGCUUGAUUUGAGAUUUUGGGAGGCAAGGGGUUCAUGUGAACCAAGUUUCUGCCCUUCUGGCAGAAACCAGGUUCGGCCGCCGAAGGGAGUUUCGGCCGCCGAACCCCCUUUGUGGAGGCAGCAUUCGGCUGCCGAAGUUGCCCCCGAAAAGAGACUUUCGUCUCUGUCUGGGACUUUCGGCCGCCGAAGGUGCCGCCGAAAGUGCCUGACUUUCGGAUCUGUCCAGGACUUUCGGCCGCCGAAGGUGCC